rnacentral:rRNA from 1 species
CUGACCAGCCCGUCGCGUGAAGGAAGACGGCCCUACGGGUUGUAAACUUCUUUUGUAAGGGAAUAAAGUGAGUCACGUGUGACUUUUUGCAUGUACCUUACGAAUAAGGAUCGGCUAACUCCGUGCCAGCAGCCGCGGUAAUACGGAGGAUCCGAGCGUUAUCCGGAUUUAUUGGGUUUAAAGGGUGCGCAGGCGGGAGAUUAAGUCGGCGGUGAAAUUUUGCAGCUCAACUGUAAAAGUGCCAUCGAUACUGGUUUUCUUGAGUGUGGAUGAAGUAGGCGGAAUUUGUGGUGUAGCGGUGAAAUGCAUAGAUAUCACAAGGAACACCGAUUGCGCAGGCAGCUUACUAAACCAUAACUGACGCUCAGGCACGAAGGCGUGGGGAGCAAACAGGAUUAGAUACCCUGGUAGUCCACGCAGUAAACGAUGAUUACUAGCUGUUUGCGAUACAAUAUAAGCGGCUGAGCGAAAGCGUUAAGUAAUCCACCUGGGGAGUACGUUCGCAAGAAUGAAACUCAAAGGAAUGGACGGA